rnacentral:rRNA from 1 species
GACGAACGCUGGCGGCGUGCUUAACACCUGCAAGUCGAGCGGAGCGGCGAACGGGUGAGUAACGCGUGAGUAACUGCCCCCCUCCCUGGGAUAACAGUUGGAAACGGCUGCUAAUACCGGAUAGUGGGGGAUGACUCGCGUCCUAUCAGCUUGUUGGUGGGGUAGUGUCCUACCAAGGCUCCGACGGGUAGCCGGCCUGGACGGGCGACCGGCAACAUUGGGCGGAGAUACGGCCCAAACUCCGACGGGGGGCAGCAGUGGGGGAUAUUGCACAAUGGGCGAAAGCCUGAUGCAGCGACGCCGCGUGGGGGAUGAAGGCUUUCGGGUUGUAAACCUCUUUCGCUAUCGAAAGGGUAGGUGGAGAAGAAGCGCCGGCUAACUACGUGCCAGCAGCCGCGGUAAUUC